rnacentral:lncRNA from 1 species
UGGUUGUAAUUUGAUUUGAUCAAAUGUUGUAAAAGAGCUUAAGCUCUUCUUUACUUUAAAGUAAUUUGAAUUGUUCAAAUGUUGUAAUGAGCAUAAGCUCACCUUUACUUUGAAGUACUUCUUUCUUGCUUUAUUUGAUAUGCAUGAAAAUGAAAUAGUUGGGUCCAACGCCCCUAAGACAACACGCCUUAAUGUGAUUAAACGCGUAACUAAAAUCAAUUAUCAUCCCUAGACCGAGAUUCAACACUAGGCUCGUGUUCAAUCUAAACAAAGGUUCAUAGUCAUCCUAAGGCCCUAAGGCAACUAUAUAGUCCAUCAAAUGAAUGCAAAAGGUUAUGUUAGUAGUAUCAUGUACUCUUGCUUUAAAAACCAUUUUAUAAGCAUAGUGGGAGUAUUAUAUACAACUAAAACAAUCAAAUGGACCAAUAGUUGUAAUAGGACCAAAAUUGUUUUAAUAAAGAUUAAAAUGAAUAUUUAUAUGUGAUGAGACCUAAAACCCUAAAACCAAACCAUUAUUAAGUUUGAUAAGCGUGAGAGUGCUUUGAACACUCUUUCGUGGCCUUCCACCAUGGUAGACUCCAAUCGUUUAUGACUUGUACACCGCCUUCACCCUAUCAUGGGGAAGUGCAAAGUGCAUGCUUAUACUCAGGAAGAGUUUAUUGAAAACAUUUGAUGAGGUUAAGGUAGGCAACGAGUGUGGCCAACAUCGUAUCAUCGUGAGGUCAUACUUGAACCCCUUUCUAAACCGGCAUGGUGGGAA